UACGAGGGGGGCAAAUGUUGUUCGGAAUCACUGGGCGUAAAGGGAGCGUAGGCGGGUUCUUAAGUAAGGUGUUUAAUCCCGGGGCCCAACCCCGGACCGGCACUUUAAACUGGGAAUCUUGAAUAGUGGAGAGGUCAGUGGAAUUGGGGGUGUAGCGGUGGAAUGCGUAGAGAUCCCCAAGAACACCAGUUGCGAAGGCGGCUGUCUGGUCCGGUUCUGACGCUGAGGCGCGAAAGCGUGGGGAGCAAACAGG
rnacentral:rRNA from 1 species